rnacentral:rRNA from 1 species
GUCCACGCCCUAAACGAUGUCGACUGGUUGUUGGGGGUUUGACACUCUCAGUAACGAAGCUAACGCGUGAAGUCGACCGCCUGGGGAGUACGGCCGCAAGGUUAAAACUCAAAGGAAUUGACGGGGACCCGCACAAGCGGUGGAUUAUGUGGAUUAAUUCGAUGCAACGCGAAAAACCUUACCUACCCUUUACAUGUCCGAGAGCCCGCAGAGAUGUGGGUGUGCCCGAAAGGGAAUCGGAACACAGGUGCUGCAUGGCUGUCGU